UACGGGGGGAGCAAGCGUUGUUCGGAUUUACUGGGCGUAAAGGGCGCGUAGGCGGUCGUGACAAGUCACUUGUGAAAUCUCCGGGCUUAACCCGGAAAGGUCAACUGAUACUGCAGGGCUAGAGUGCAGAAGGGGCAACUGGAAUUCUCGGUGUAGCGGUGAAAUGCGUAGAUAUCGAGAGGAACACCUGCGGCGAAGGCGGGUUGCUGGGCUGACACUGACGCUGAGGCGCGAAAGCCAGGGGAGCAAACGGG
rnacentral:rRNA from 1 species